AUUAUAGCUGUAUUUAUUUUACAGUCAAUGAAAAGGAACUUCCUACUUCGUCCCAUUUUUAGGAGUCGGCAAGGAAUGGGGUUGGGGGCACAUUCUGGAAAGAAUUAAACAAUCGCCUGGUCUCUGUUUGGUCAGACUGUACUGGGUGCUGGCCAGGGCUCCCCAGGCUCCUCUCUCCAUCCUCCUGGGGAGCAGCAGUCCCACGGAGAUCUGCAGGGCUGGUCUCUGCAUGCCUCAGGUUCCUGGUCACCAGCCAUUCCCAGGCAGCCCUCUCAGCUGUCUCCAUGCUCCAAACGGACCAUAUCCAAACCCUUGCUAACUUUGCACCCUUUUUCUUUACUGCAAACAAUACAUGCUCAAGAAGUUUCUGGGGUGAGAGUGAAUGGACUUGGAAAUAAAACUCAGAAAUAUGCACUUGAUAUUUAAAAGUUGAAGUUUUAUACUUCAAAAUGUGCUUGUUCCCAUAAAAAGAUGCCCCCUCCACUUUUAAAGUUAAGUAAUUUUUGAUAUCUCUUGCACAGGUCAUACGUUUUACAGAUAGCCAUCUAAUUAUUUAUUACAGGCAGUAAUCUAAUUUUUACAUGUUUAUACAUUUCAAGGAAAAUAUCCAACCAUCACAAACAUAAAAUUUCAACUGUAAAAUUGAAAUUUACACCAAUAAACACGAAAAACCAUUUUAGACUAUGUGCUACCUUCGCUUGCUUAUGCAGGAUCCAAAGAAUGCAGGCAAACCCUAAAAAUGUAGCAGAAGCAUUUCCGCACACUGGCAUCAAAAUCGAGUUUGUGCAGAAGUGUUUCCACUAGAUUCAUAGAGUGUUCUUUGGAAGAAAGGAGCAGCGAGUAAUCAUCUGGUCGCUCUCCGGACUCUCUGCAGCUCCUCAACAGGCUUCCAUUCCUGGUUGAUGGUUAAAAGCAAUACCUUUUGGGGUUGAGUAGGAUCCACCGUUUCCCAAGGUUCUGGGUUUCUUUUUCGAUCAAUACUAAAAUACUUACACCACGUCGGUUUUUUUCAAAGCAUACAAAGCAAAAGAUGAGGCUCCAGUGGCUGCCGCGCUUAUAAAAAACGCCAAAGGAAUGAAAACUUACUUCCUUAUUUUUCAUCAAUCUCUGGAAAAUGCCCAUGAUGACUUUAGUGUAGAAUUCCAAAUCUAGAAGAAGGAAAAAUCCAAGAUACUGGUCAAAAACAUCUUCCCCCGGACCCCGGACACCCAGCGGUUCAGCAAUCGCAGAAGGCCUGGCGACCUCCCGCUCCACAGAACUUUUCAGAAAGAUGA
rnacentral:lncRNA from 1 species